GGAGGAAAGCAGGGGAUCGUAAGACCUUGCGCUUUUGGAGUGGCCGAUGCCUGAUUAGCUAGUUGGUGGGGUAAGAGCCUACCAAGGCGACGAUCAGUAGUUGGUCUGAGAGGACGACCAGCCACACUGGGACUGAGACACGGCCCAGACUCCUACGGGAGGCAGCAGUGGGGAAUUUUGGACAAUGGGCGAAAGCCUGAUCCAGCAAUGCCGCGUGAGUGAAGAAGGCCUUCGGGUUGUAAAGCUCUUUCAGUCGAGAAGAAAAGGUUGCGACUAAUAAUCGCAACUUAUGACGGUAUCGACAGAAGAAGCACCGGCUAACUACGUGCCAGCAGCCGCGGUAAUACGUAGGGUGCGAGCGUUAAUCGGAAUUACUGGGCGUAAAGGGUGCGCAGGCGGCUCUGUAAGUCAGAUGUGAAAUCCCCGGGCUUAACCUGGG
rnacentral:rRNA from 1 species